AGGGAUCGACGAAGGAUGCGCGGACGCGAAGGUCUUCCUCCAUCCAGCCCUACGCGAGCCUCGCGAGGGAUUCCGGCGUGGCUGGGAGUCAAUCUGAGGCGAGGCUUGCGAGUGAUCCGGCGCCGGAGGGGAUCGACCGGAGGCAAGGCAUCCGGCCUCGAUCCGAGGCGACGUGCGCGAGGAUCCGGUGAUCGACAGGAUCUCGCCCGUAGCAGAUGGGCGACCUUUCCUCUUUGCCUUCACCGUUGCUGGUUCGCCUCUGCCUCCGACCUCGGCGCGUCCCCUCCUCCCGCUCGCCUCCCCUCCCCCAAGAACGAGGAGGAGCAGCCGGUGCCCCCUCCCCCGAGCUCGCCAACGGCGCUGUUCUCCGGCGUAAGCUUGCUGAUAUUGCUCCUCCUCUCCUCUGUCCGCGGCUUCCCCGAGCAGUAAGAGACCUAAUUCAACAGGUCGCUUGGUGAACGGAGAGGGGCUGCAGGGGGAUGAGCCAGGCAAUUUCAAAUCUUGGGAGUGCAAGAACAAUAUGUCGUCGUAAAAGAAGAGAGUUUUGAUUUUAAUCUACCCAUGUCCUGUUGCCAACUAUUAUCAUGAUCGUACCUUAGUUCAUGCAUUUAUCUAUUAUCUAGGUAUUUGAAAAGAUUUUCAUGUUCAAGUGGGCUUCUUUAGAUGUGUUGAUGGCAGUUAGAUUUCUAUUUGCUGCAGCGGCAUGCAUGUUAUCUCCCUGUUGGCCGUGCAUAACCAAAUUUUUUCUAAAUGGAUGUGAUGCUCCAUCAGCUUCCACAUACGGCAUUUGGAAAAGUUGUUAAUGGUGGAAAAAAUGAUGUGGACAAUUAUUAAGACACAACUGAGAUGCAAAAUCAUACUGAUGCUCCUCAGAGAAGACGAAUUCAUUGUUUCAGAAGGAAGUGAGCCCCCUUAGAUUUCCUACAUUCUUGAACACGCAAUCUGCAAAAUCAUCUGCACGUUUUGUCUUUUCUUUUUUGCACAAGGUAUUUGGUCUUAGUUUAUUAUGUAGAUUCCACAAGUUAAUGUUCUUUGUGAUUGGACGUGUACCUACAUACGGUUAUUUAGUUUCAGAGAUAAAUUGCAUCUUGCUCGGAUUCUUUUAUUGCAGAUGAACAUCAAAAUAAAUUUGCCAUUUUAAAGGAUGGAGUUCGAGCAA